GACGAACGUUGGCGGCGUGCUUAAUACAUGCAAGUCAACUGAAGCAGUGGUAGCAAUAUCGCUGUGGAGGUGGCGCACGGGUGAGUAACACGUAGGUAAUCUGCCUUCAGGUCUGGCAUAACUCCGGGAAACCGGGGCUAAUAGCUGAUGAUGCAGCGGCUCGACAUCGAGACAGUUGUUAAAGCUAUGGCGCCUGAAGAUGAGCCUGCGUCUGAUUAGCUAGUUGGCGGGGUAACGGCCCACCAAGGCAACGAUCAGUAGCUGGUCUGAGAGGAUGAUCAGCCACACUGGAACUGAGACACGGUCCAGACUCCUACGGGAGGCAGCAGUAAGGAAUAUUGCUCAAUGGGAGAAAUCCUGAAGCAGCAACGCCGCGUGAGGGACGAAGGGCUUUUGCUUGUAAACCUCUGUAGUGAGAGAAAAAAAUCCCAAUCUUUGGGACAUGAUGGUAUCUCAAAAGUAAGCCCCGGCUAACUACGUG
rnacentral:rRNA from 1 species